rnacentral:lncRNA from 10 species
ACAUCUUAAUCUUAGGAGUUUUGAUCACUGACUUGCAAAUCCAAAAAGUGUGUUUUGAGGUCCUAGGCCACAGGAAGAACCAGUUUGUCUCACAGACCUCUUACAGAGAUGGCAUUUGUAGUCUAUCUAGAUUCCAGCUUCAGAUAAUAUGUACUCCACUGGCAGCACGAGAAAUAAAUACAGAUCCAGGCGAGGGUGGAGGAUGGCCGGCUGCACAGACCUCUGUUCCGGUGCUUUCUCUUCAAAAGUAUUAAUUUAAUUCUUCUAACCUCAGGAGAUAGGCAUUAUCAUUACCCUCAUUUUAUAGAUUAGGCCACUACAAACAGAGAGGUUAUGUAAGUAGUCCAACAUCACACUGCUAGUCACAUAGGGGAGCCAGCAUUUAAACCCUUGCCCUCUGACUCCACAGUUUAUGUCCCUAAGCAUCAUAUUAAGUGGACUAAGGAAAAGUUAAUAGAUGGAGGGAGGGAGUACUAGGUAGAUGGGAGAGUUGCAUAACUUUAUGUACAUGAAGUUUUUGAACCAUGUAAAUGUGUUACUGGUUGAAAAAAUAUUUAGAAAAAAAUGAGUAUGACUCUGCUGAAGUUAAUUUCCAUACGAGAGGCAGACCUCUCAAGAUAGUAAUAGUAGUAGCUUGUAGUGAGGGUUUACCAAAGUCCUCUCUACAGUCCUCUGAGACUUUAGGGACAGAACGCUUAUUUAACCUCAUGAGAUGGAUUCCAUGCCCCCAACCUGGGCUGAGCAGCUAAAGCUUGGGGUGCUGAGGCUGGGGAGGCUGAGUGCACUAGCUCCCAUGACCCACAGCUCUCCCCUUCGCAGACCCCUUCUUC